GUGUUAAUUUUUAAUUAUUUUAAUAAUAAUUAAUUUAUUUUGUAGUAAUUAACAUUAAAAAUUUAAGAAAUUAAGAUUUAGUAAUAUAAAAAUUAAUAACAAAUUUUGUGCCAGCAGUUGCGGUUAUACAAAAAUUAAAUUGAAUUUUAUUAGUAAUUAAUAAAUAUUUAAAUAUAAUUUAAAUGUUAAAUUAUUAGGUGAAAUUUUAAUUUAAUUAAAAAUUAAUAAUUAAAAUAUGAUUUAAUAAAUUUUAUUAUAAACUAGGAUUAGAUACCCUAUUAUUAGAAAUUUAAAUAAUAAUACUAAAAUAGUAUAUAAUUAUUUAUUGAAACUUAAAUAAUUUGGCGGUAUUUUAGUUCAUUUAGAGGAAUCUGUUUAUUAAUUGAUAAUCCACGAAUAAUUUUACUUAAUUAAAAAUUUUGUAUAUCGUUGUUAAAAAAAUAUUUUUAAAUAAUUUUAAUAUUUUAAAAUUUAAAAUAAAAAUUAAAUCAGAUCAAGAUGCAGAUUAUAAUUAAGAAUAUAAUGGAUUACAAUAAAAUUAUUUAUAUGGAUAUUUAAUUGAAAUAUUAAAUUAAAAGUGGAUUUAAAUGUAAUUUUAUUUAAUUUAAUAAAAUGAUUAAAAAUUAAAAUAUGUACAUAUUGCCCGUCGCUUUCAUUUAUAAAUUGAAAUAAGUCGUAACAAAGUAGAGGUACUGGAAAGUGUUUCUAGAAAGAU
rnacentral:rRNA from 15 species